rnacentral:misc_RNA from 1 species
UCGUAACAAGGUCUCCGUUGGUGAACCAGCGGAGGGAUCAUUACCGAGUUUACAACUCCCAAACCCAAUGUGAACGUUACCAAACUGUUGCCUCGGCGGGAUCUCUGCCCCGGGUGCGUCGCAGCCCCGGACCAAGGCGCCCGCCGGAGGACCAACCAAAACUCUUAUUGUAUACCCCCUCGCGGGUUUUUUACUAUCUGAGCCAUCUCGGCGCCCCUCGUGGGCGUUUCGAAAAUGAAUCAAAACUUUCAACAACGGAUCUCUUGGUUCUGGCAUCGAUGAAGAACGCAGCGAAAUGCGAUAAGUAAUGUGAAUUGCAGAAUUCAGUGAAUCAUCGAAUCUUUGAACGCACAUUGCGCCCGCCAGUAUUCUGGCGGGCAUGCCUGUCCGAGCGUCAUUUCAACCCUCGAACCCCUCCGGGGGGUCGGCGUUGGGGAUCGGCCCUUUACGGGGCCGGCCCCGAAAUACAGUGGCGGUCUCGCCGCAGCCUCUCCUGCGCAGUAGUUUGCACACUCGCAUCGGGAGCGCGGCGCGUCCACAGCCGUUAAACACCCCAAACUUCUGAAAUGUUGACCUCGGAUCAGGUAGGAAUACCCGCUGAACUUAAGCAUAUCAAUAA